rnacentral:rRNA from 1 species
CCUACGGGAGGCAGCAGUGGGGAAUAUUGCACAAUGGGGGAAACCCUGAUGCAGCGACGCCGCGUGAGUGAAGAAGUAUUUCGGUAUGUAAAGCUCUUUCAGCAGGGAAGAAAAUGACGGUACUAGCUUAAGAAGCCCCGGCUAACUACGUGCCAGCAGCCGCGGUAAUACGUAGGGGGUAAGCGUCAUCCGGAUUGACUGGGUGUAAAGGGAGCGUAGACGGCAGCCUAAGUCUGGAGUGAAAUGCCGGGGCUUAACCCCGGAACUGCUUUGGAGACUGUGGAGCUAGAGUGCAGGAGAGGUAAGUGGAAUGCCUAGUGUAGCGGUGAAAUGCGUAGAUAUUAGGAGGAACACCAGUGGCGAAGGCGGCUUACUGGACUAUAACUGACGUUGAGGCUCGAAAGCGUGGGGAGCAAACAGGAUUAGAUACCCUUGUAGUC